rnacentral:lncRNA from 1 species
AUAGCUGUUCCCAGCAGUUAGAGGAAAUGGCAGCCCUGGGACCUGGGGGGAUCCAAGGGCAGUCCACGUCUCAAUGGGAAGAUGGCAGCAGCUCAGUGGCUCUUCACAGUGAAGUGACGACCUGUUGUUAAAUGUUUAACAGAAGCCAAACUUGGCUUUUAGGGGACAGCUCUCCUGCCAGCCAGCCAGCUUGCCAAAGGAAUCUUUCCUGUGCACAGAGAGCACACUGGGCUUGGAGACAUUCUCUGCACAGUGGGAUUUGGUGAGAAUCUUAAGAGUUUCUGUUCAAGGUCAGUUUGUCUCUCUCAGACCGUGGCACCAAGGAACCUGCUGCUACCCUACUUGAUGGGGCUGAACGGGAGAUAUAUUCCAUGCUUCACAAUUGCCACCUUUCGGGAGCGGCUUCACC